rnacentral:piRNA from 1 species
UAGCCCCUAGCUGAGUGUCUUGAUGGAGAUC